AAUUUUAUUGUUUGGUACUACCAUUUAUGGAUUUGCGAGCCUACAAAUUUCGAUGAUCAGCUUGGCUGUAAAAAUGAUAAACCACGUGAGCCAGAUCAUUUGUUUCAUCGAUCAAAAGAGUGAGAAUCAUGAAUGGAGCGAGCAAGAUAAAAGAAAUGCUUUCAACUACGCUGUCCAACAGCACCAGAGGUGCAUUCGCUUCGUUCACUGCAUUAACAAAAUCUUCGCGAUGACAACUCUGCUGGACGUUUGGACUCUCACUUUCGCCCUUUGUUUGAACACUCACCUUUUUGUGACGCAUCCUUCAGAGGCCCCCUUGCCUGUUGGUUCAAUUUUACAAAACGUCAUAGUGAUGGCACUUUACAUCGGUAUGGCUUGCUGGCACAGCGAUAGAGUCACCAAAGCAGGGCUGAUGAUAAGUACAAACUGCAAUGCAAUGUUAUGGUGGAAUUUAGAUCAAGAAAUGAUCCAGGAUAUCAGCAUCAUGUCGCAAGUAGCUCAAAUGAAGUUAACAAUAAAGGCUGGCCCAGUGUACACGCUCAAUAUGAGAACAUUCC